UAACAACAAAUGAGCCAAAUUUAUUACACUAUGUAUGCAUGAUAUAACUUAAGCACAUCAUAAAACUCUAGUAUUCUUUUGUUUGAUGUUACCAGAAUAUUUUAGUUAGACCUCUCUUAUUUUCUUAUUCGUGUUCAAUCUUCAGAAAUUCUACGAAAUAGAUUUAUUCUUAUUCUUAUUAUUAUAAUGAUAUUGGGGAUAAGUUUGCAAUAACUGCGCAGGAAUCUUUCAUAUUUUUAGAGGCUAGAUUAGAAGUAAUUUUAAUCCAUUUAGCUUAGAAAAGGUUGUGUAAAAAAAAGAAACGGAUUCCAGCAUCCCUCAUUCAAAGAUUAGAUAUACAAAAUAUAGGAAAAUACAAAAAUAUGGAGUAAAAAUAAAGUGUGUCCCGGGAAUAACUGUACCUACAUACUCUUAUCAGAGGUAGAAUGGGCCAAGUGGAGAACGAUUUAACUAUGAAAAAUUAAUUUCUGCCAUUCCUCAGAAAGCUACAGGGGUUUUCCAGAAAAUCAAGGAAAUACGAGUGAGAAACAAGGUGAAAGAUUUCACCAAUAUAAUAAAGUUAUGGAGGACCGCUACCAAGGAAGAUGGGACAUGCACAUGAUGACAGAUUACUGCUGGAGUUUAAAAAAGGACUGUUUGAAAAGCGUUCAAGAAUGUUGCGGAAAAGUAUUAUUUUUCAGUAAAAAGGUGGAACAAAAACACGUGUAGCACUAGACUAAUUGAUUUCGGCACAGAGGCAAAGUAAUUCACGGCCAUUUUAGUUUUUAAAAAAUCACGUCUUGCUACACAACUGUGUUAACUAUUGAUCACUUGUUUCACGAAAAAUUAAAAUGUUUGCUGAAUCACGCACCUGGGCCCAUAACCUAUUCUUUUUCAGUUAUGUAGUUCCAACAGUUGAGAGUGUAUUAAAGCAAUUAGUCUAGUGCUACACGUGUUUUUGUUCCACCUUUUUACCGAAAAAUAAU